rfam:Tupaia chinensis contig214200, whole genome shotgun sequence.
GUGCCUUCUUCAGCAGCACAUAUACUAAAAUUGGAACAAUACAGAGAAGAUUACUAUGGCCCUUUUGCAAAGUAAGUACACAUAAAAUCAUUAAUCAUUCCAUAUUUUU